rnacentral:lncRNA from 1 species
UUUAGUGAAUAGUAAAUGAAGCGAUGUUGAAGCUCUAGCGAAUCCUUUUGAAGCGUUUACGAAAUUUUGGUGGCAAACAAGUACCGAUGUAGCAUUGCAAUUAUGACUUGUCUCAUUUCUCUAUUAUUUGUAAAAUUUAUCAUUUUUAAAAUUCAUAAAAAUAUACGUAUAAUUACUAUAAGUUCCUGGGAACAACUCUUCAUAUUUGAAUUGUCAAGGGAACCAAAGCUUUACACAAGGGCCUGCACAAAUUAAAUAAACAUAAUAAAAAUAAAACCAAGCUGCUAAAAUUCCAAUAUUAAACCAAAAAAAAUAGAAAAAAGUCACAAUUUAAAAUUUAGAGGAAUACUCACCAAAAAAUGCGGAAGUACCAAACGUGUUUAAGCAAUUUCUUUUUUUGUUUUUUUUCUAUAUUUGAUUACUUUCACAGCAAUCACGAAAUCAAUCCUUGUCCAAUCGCAAAGGCAACCAAAGCUCAUUUUCAACCAAACUGAAUGCUCAAAAAGUAAACACCAUAAACAAUUCAUUUUUAAAACAUUUUAUAAAACCAUCGUAGAAGGAAAAAUAAUUUAUAAACAAAUGUCCGCCCACAAACAGUCUAAAGCACAAUUAACCCUCUGCGGUUUUGUCCGGGGCGAUUCGUUGCGCCUGAAAACAUACGAAAGAAUAUUAGGAUUAACUUGAUAAUCAAACCCAACUCCGAACUUUAAAGAUCCAAACUCCAGUUCUCAGGACUCAAAAGUGUAAGCACGUCUUUUAAGAAAAGUCCUAUGGCCAUUAUAGUUUUUCCAAAGGAUAAGUUGGUCGCGAAAGACCCCAGGUCAAUAGUACAGUCAAAC